rnacentral:rRNA from 1 species
GCUGGUGGCAAUAGCAAAGGGGAAACACCUGUUCCCAUCCCGAACACAGAAGUGAAGACCUUUAACGCCAAGGAUACUAGUUUGGUAACGAACUGGGAAUAUAGGUAGCUGCCAGCU